rnacentral:rRNA from 1 species
GAAACAGUGGCUAAGACUGGAUAGGAAGUUUUAAGGCAUCUUGAAACUUUUAAAAGACCCGCAAAGGUAUACUUUAGGAGGGGCUUGCGCCAUAUUAGUUAGUUGGUAGGGUAAUGGCCUACCAAGACGAUGAUGUGUAGCUGGACUGAGAGGUUGAACAGCCACAUUGGGACUGAGACACGGCCCAAACUCCUACGGGAGGCAGCAGUAGGGAAUUUUCGGCAAUGGAGGAAACUCUGACCGAGCAACGCCGCGUGAACGACGAAGUACUUUGGUAUGUAAAGUUCUUUUAUCAAGGAAGAAAAGCAAGUGGUGAACCAUUUGUUUGCCGGUACUUGAUGAAUAAGCCCCGGCUAAUUAUGUGCCAGCAGCCGCGGUAAGACAUAAGGGGCAAGUGUUAUCCGGAAUUAUUGGGCGUAAAGGGUGCGUAGGCGGUCUAGUAAGUCAGUGGUGUAAUGGCAACGCUCAACGUUGUCCGGCUAUUGAAACUGCUAAACUUGAGUUAGAUAGAGGCGAGUGGAAUUCCAUGUGUAGCGGUAAAAUGCGUAAAUAUAUGGAGGAACACCAGAGGCGUAGGCGGCUCGCUGGGUCUUAACUGACGCUGAGGCACGAAAGCGUGGGGAGCAAACAGGAUUAGAUACCCUGGUAGUCCACGCCGUAAACGAUGAGUACUAAGUGUCGGGUUAAACCGGUACUGAAGUUAACACAUUAAGUACUCCGCCUGAGUAGUACGUACGCAAGUAUGAAACUUAAAGGAAUUGACGGGACUCCGCACAAGCGGUGGAUCAUGUUGUUUAAUUCGAAGAUACCCGAAAAACCUUACCAGGUCUUGACAUGUUUUUGCGAAACGGUAGUAAUAUCGUGGAGGUUAUCAGAAACACAGGUGGUGCAUGGUUGUCGUCAGCUCGUGUCGUGAGAUGUUAGGUUAAGUCCUAAAACGAGCGAAACCCUUAUCGUUAGUUGCCAGCACGUUAUGGUGGGGACUUUAACGAGACUGCCAGUGAUAAACUGGAGGAAGGUGAGGAUCACGUCAAAUCAGCAUGCCCCUUAUGACCUGGGCUACAAACGUGAUACAAUGGCUGUUACAAAGGGUAGCUGAAACGCAAGUUCUUGGCCAAUCCCCAAAAACAGUCUCAGUCCGGAUUGAAGUCUGCAACUCGACUUCAUGAAGUUGGAAUCGCUAGUAAUCGCGAAUCAGCAUGUCGCGGUGAAUACGUUCUCGGGGUUUGUACACACCGC